AAUUUGCGUUAGGGAUUGAAAUGACAUCCUUUUGCUUUUUCUGCAAAAGAUAUAAUGUAAAGCCCGUUAAAAC
rnacentral:sRNA from 1 species